AGCGAACGCUGGCGGCAGGCCUAACACAUGCAAGUCGAACGAACUCUUCGGAGUUAGUGGCGGACGGGUGAGUAACACGUGGGAACGUGCCUUUAGGUUCGGAAUAACUCAGGGAAACUUGUGCUAAUACCGAAUGUGCCCUUCGGGGGAAAGAUUUAUCGCCUUUAGAGCGGCCCGCGUCUGAUUAGCUAGUUGGUGAGGUAAAUGCUCACCACGGCGACGAUCAGUAGCUGGUCUGAGAGGAUGAUCAGCCACAUUGGGACUGAGACACGGCCCAAACUCCUACGGGAGGCAGCAGUGGGGAAUCUUGCGCAAUGGGCGAAAGCAUGACGCAGCCAUGACGCGUGAAUGAUGAAGGUCGUAGGAUUGUAAAAUUCUUUCACCGGGGACGAUAAUGACGGUACCCGGAGAAGAAGCCCCGGCUAACUUCGUG
rnacentral:rRNA from 1 species